CUUUUAAAUGAUUUGAGAUGGCCUCUCGCCCUAUUCAGUGUAACACCUGUGGUAGUGGGUUUGGUCGCUCGCAUUUAAAUUGGAAGGGUAAUGGUGGACCGCACUUCUCCCUUAGUAGGACGUUGCGACCUGUCAAAUAAUAUUCUAAGUAUUUGGCUAAUUUGUCUGUUUUUAGGCAAUACCGAAAGGUAUUUCCUUUAACAGUUUUAGCCAAUUUAAAUACUGGAUAAAAUUGACAGUAACGAACCAUGGUGUUGAGCCACUUGAAAUUGUAUAUAUUUUUAUAAUAUGUAUAAUGGAAAGUGUCCUUGUGUGGCUGUUUGCAAGUGGGUUGGUUAUAUAGUUUUAGUCGGAUUUCGGUCCGUCUAGCUAUUCC
rnacentral:rRNA from 1 species